AUUGAACGCUGGCGGCAGGCCUAACACAUGCAAGUCGAGCGAGCGGCGGACGGGUGAGUAAUGUAUGGGGACUGCCCGAUAGAGGGGGCUAACUACUGGAAACGGUGGCUAAUACCGCAUACUAUCGGAUAACCCAUAUGGGAUUAGCUAGUUGGUGGGGGAAAGGCUAACCUAGGCGACGAUCCCUAGCUGGCCUGAGAGGAUGAGCCGCUACACUGGGACUGAGAAACGGCCCAGAAUCCUACGGAGGCAGCAGGGGGGAAUAUUGCACAAUGGGCGAAAGCCUGAUGGAGCCAUGCCGCGUGUAUGAAGAAGGCCUUAGGGUUGUAAAGUACUUUCAGCGGGGAGGCGUUACCCGCAGAAGAAGCACCGGCUAACUCCGUGCCAGCAGCCGCGGUAAUUC
rnacentral:rRNA from 1 species